GAUCCUGGCUCAGAUUGAACGCUGGCGGCAGGCCUAACACAUGCAAGUCGAACGGUAACAGGAAGAAGCUUGCUUCUUUGCUGACGAGUGGCGGACGGGUGAGUAAUGUCUGGGAAACUGCCUGAUGGAGGGGGAUAACUACUGGAAACGGUAGCUAAUACCGCAUAACGUCGCAAGACCAAAGAGGGGGGGAACCCUUCGGGCCGUCCUUUGCCUAUCGGAUGUGCCCACGAUGGGAUUAGCUUGUUGGUGGGGUAACGG
rnacentral:rRNA from 1 species